UACGUAGGGUGCGAGCGUUAAUCGGAAUUACUGGGCGUAAAGUGUGCGCAGGCGGCCGCGCAAGUCGAGUGUGAAAGCCCCGAGCUUAACUUGGGAAUUGCGCUCGAAACUACGUGGCUGGAGUGUGGCAGAGGAAGGUGGAAUUCCAGGUGUAGCGGUGAAAUGCGUAGAGAUCUGGAGGAACACCGAUGGCGAAGGCAGCCUUCUGGACCGACACUGACGCUGAGGCGCGAAAGCGUGGGGAGCAAACAGG
rnacentral:rRNA from 1 species